UACGUAGGGUCCGAGCGUUGUCCGGAAUUAUUGGGCGUAAAGGGCUCGUAGGCGGUUUGUCACGUCGGGAGUGAAAUCUUACAGCUUAACUGUGAACUUGCUUUCGAUACGGGCAGACUUGAGGCAUUCAGGGGAGAACGGAAUUCCUGGUGUAGCGGUGAAAUGCGCAGAUAUCGGGAGGAACACCUGUGGCGAAAGCGGCGCACUGGACCACAACUGACGCUGAGGCGCGAAAGCUAGGGGAGCAAACAGG
rnacentral:rRNA from 1 species